rnacentral:tmRNA from 1 species
GGGGAUGUAAAGGUUUCGACGGGGAUUUUGAAACAUGAUAAGCGAGCAGAGAAGCGCAAAUCUCUUUAAAAGGCGCACGUUUUAAAAUUAGACGACAACAAUAAUUUUGAAUUAGCAGCUGCUUAAUUGCUGCUCGUCUGACCGUUGAGUACCACGGCUUCGGAUCAGGCGCCGACUAGUGGUGAACGUUACACGGAAAUGCCUGCGUCCGUGUAAUGUAUUGCAGGCUACUGAGCAUAGCGGUGUGUUUGUCCACGGCUAUGCGAGGGAAUGUCAAUGACAAACUACGCUCGUAGAAAGUUGUGCGGAUAGAUUUUCGGACACGGGUUCGAUUCCCGUCAUCUCCACCA